rnacentral:rRNA from 1 species
AGCGAACGCUGGCGGCAGGCCUAACACAUGCAAGUCGAACGAACCUUUCGGGGUUAGUGGCGGACGGGUGAGUAACACGUGGGAACGUUCCUUUAGGUUCGGAAUAACUCAGGGAAACUUGUGCUAAUACCGAAUGUGCCCUUCGGGGGAAAGAUUAAUCGCCUUUAGAGCGGCCCGCGUCUGAUUAGCUAGUUGGUUGAGGUAAUGGCUCACCAAGGCGACGAUCAGUAGCUGGUCUGAGAGGAUGAUCAGCCACAUUGGGACUGAGACACGGCCCAAACUCCUACGGGAGGCAGCAGUGGGGAAUCUUGCGCAAUGGGCGAAAGCCUGACGCAGCCAUGCCGCGUGAAUGAUGAAGGUCUUAGGAUUGUAAAAUUCUUUAACCGGGGACGAUAAUGACGGUACCCGGAGAAGAAGCCCCGGCUAACUUCGUG